GGGCAUAUUGGUAAGUUGGAUUUAACGGUUUUAGCAGUGUGUGAUUUUAAACACGAGUAGAAUGUACACUGUUUUCACGGGGCAUAAACAUAUUUAACUAGCCAGCGCAUGUAGGCAGACUUGCAAGUCCUAAAGCGUGAGAGCUCUUGAUCCGUGGAAAUAUUCUGUAAAAUAUAUGUUUGUUAAGUACUUUUGCUAAAUAGAAUCAAGCAGUGCAUCGUUUUAAAUACGAGUAAGUUAGCAUGUAGGCUACACUGUUUAAACAUGCCUGGCAGCGGAUGUAGUAAAACUCGCAAGCUCUAGAUGUCCUGCCCAGUUUGUGAAAUAUAAUUUAUGUGUUUGAAACCGUAGUAGAGUGUGUAUUUAUUCACGUAGUUUAAAUGUUUAGCUGUCAGUUCUGUGUGAUAUCAGUGCAAAUCCUUAGGUAGCAUGUUUUACAUAACAAACUUCACCUUAAACCACGGUGCGUGUUCAAGUGUGCAUUUUUACCGUAAACAAAAUAGAUUCACGUGUUGCUACUCCACAUGCCCUUGCUGUCACAAAACUAGAAGUUUUGAGAGUACAGAAAUGGUUGCUCAGAGGAUGUGAAAGGCAUGAUUCUUCUACCUCUCUCCUGUUUUGAUGAGAAAGAGGAGCUCCUCCAUUAUGUAGAAGAGACAAGCCUGGCAAAGGAUGUGGAGUUAGAAAACCUGCCUGUGACGCCUUGCAUUAUUGUGUGUGUGGACCCUCCUGCUAUGCUGCUGUCCGAUUCAUGCUAGCUGUGGACCGCAAGAUUGUGAAUGAUGACAUCACUUCUUUCAUCUCUGCUGUUUGCCUAAUGUUCUGCAGUUAUUACUGCUCCAAAAUUAACUACCCUACUGAACUGGCGUCAGUGCUUGAAUUCCUGCAAAGGUGUUUUUUUCAUCCUCAAUCCGGAGAAAGGGAAUAAAGGAGGUGGAAAAGAAAAACAAAAAGCUACUCCCAGUCUUCACCCUAAUCGCUGACCUUUCUGAUCAUGAAUGGCGAGAGACUUUGUAAAGGUGGUCUGCAGACUGUUUCCAAGUUUAUACUCGGGGUGAGAGACUUUGUAAAGGUGGCCUACAGACUGUUUCCAAGUUUUAAUCUCUUAAAGGGUUAUUUCAGGCUUGAAUCAAAUUUUCCCCAUGUUUUACUUACCCUCAAGGCAUCCUAAGUGAAUGUAACUUUCUUCUUGAGGAAUAAUGGAGUCAGAGUAAUAAUACCACGUAUCCUUUUACUUCCAAGCAGUAGAAUGGGAGUGAAUGGGGGGCAAUUUUUUAAAUCUCCAAAAAGUGCAUCCAUUGAUCAAAGAGCGGCUCGACACGGCUCCGUGGU